AUUAAAUCUCAGCCACUUAAACUCAUAAAAAUAACCUCUCUAAUGGCAGUUCAAAGCAGUUUCCUGGGCCUCCACAUUCUCCUGCCCAUGUUCUCCCCAAUUCAUGCUAUGUGGCGGUUCUUAGCAGUUUUGAAGGCUAAACGCUUAAGUUCAUCCUUAUAAACCCCCCCUUCUACCUCAUGAAUCUGCGUCCUCUGGCUCCUUCUUCCCAUUCAACUAAUCUUUUCUCUCUCAUCCAAGCAUCUCAACAUCAUCUGGUAUCCAUUGCCCACAUUUGAAAAAUUAGGAGCCACCAGUGUUCACCGCCUCUACCACGGUUUACGAUUACGAGAAGUGAGCACCGCGAUACGACCACAAUCUGGUAAUUCGUUCUCUCCGGAGUCCGUUCUUGGUUGUUCUCCUGCCAUGGCUUGGAGCACAGUCAAUCUCUCUCACUCUUGGGCUUUCCGAAUGAAAACAAGUCGUCUGCGAUGCUGCUAAGAUCCAUGGUGUUUCUGAUCUUCAAUUCAAUUCAUCCAAUGAAGGAAUUUGGGUUGAGAAUAGGAUCAGAUGAAUCACCGAAGAUUUUUUUUUUUUUUGUGUAACCGCGGAAUCUGAAGCUGGAGUGGCGCAUAUAGUAUUAAUUGGUAUGCAUCAAAUCAUACUCGCCUUUUGAUGGUCUUGUCUUCGAUUUCGAUGAUACUUUGAACACUUCAAGCAUUGGAUUCGGUGAUCCCACUGGGCGUAACAUCAACGAGACAUAUUAAGAUAAGAGGCUAAAGCAUAGUGGCUGGAGUGAUGGAGUAUUAGUAAAAGUAAAUCAGAAAAUAAUAUCAUAUUGUAAUUUAUUUGGAAAUUUAUGUCUUUUUUGUGCAUCAAACGAGCUACAAAGAUUGCAUUAUCAAUGUAGACACCAUGUUCAAUUUUCAGUUUUGUUCUUCCAAAAUAAUGUUCAGAAAUCAUAUGUGCUGGCAAUAUUUUUGGUUCAAAAGAUAAAUAUCUAAUUUCAAUAUGGGGAAACAUCACUGAAGAUUACGAAGUUGUAUGCAUUAAAAAUACACGUGGAAAACUUUUGACCCCCUUUGGCCCGUAUCAUUUGUAUCUAAAGUUCUUAAAUUUUCCCCAUUUGACCCGUUACCUAUUUUAAUACAACUCGAACUGACCUGCUCAUAUGUAACUGGGUGGAAAUUGUGAUCCCUAGCUAACCGCAUCUCAGUUUUUCCUUAUGCAUUUGUAGAUUUUCUGUAGCUUAGAAAGGGAUGUGCAUUUGAUGGGUGGAAAGAAGGUGCUUUAACUUUCCACCAACUUACAAAUACGAGCCAAAAUUAUAUAAAUACUAUGGCUAGGAUCCUAAAGUUGGUAGGCGUACUCCCGCAUGGUUGCAUUGAUAGUAAUAGACUAAUAGCUGAUGGGUUCACAUGCUGAAAUACGAUAUCUGUGGAGCCGAAGCCAGUAAAGAAAGGCUCACAGUUUAACCUCGACAACGAUCUAUUUCUCCCUAAAGAAAGGAAAGACAUCAUCGUGUCAACUGUGUGUUGAAGUGCCAUGGCUGCUUAGCAAUAAAGCUACAACAAUUAUGGCAUCCCUUAUUGGGCCAGUUAAAAAAAUUAUCUUCUUUAAAAAAUUAUGGCAUCCCUUAUUGUGAUAAGAUGAUAUUGCAAGUCAUAUGUGAUGAAAUAGUUAACUCGAGAUAGCCACAUACAUAAAGAAAGUGACGUGACGUAUAGUUUGGAUCUCUAUAGCGGGAUCACGGGUUGUUCAUACACAACGGGAUUACAAACAGUAGUUAUUAAGCAUUGUAUAUCUAGAGUUGUGACGGAUUUAUUUACGAGACUGACAUGAUAUGUGGAUGGAACAGAUGAAGAAUUUAGAAAGCACAGUUGAGAGAGUGAAGGGGUUGCUAGAAGCAAGGAUAAAAAGGAAGACGGACACACGUGAGAGCAAAGGGUUUAGAGGGUUGUAAGCUAUAACAUUCUGCUUUAUAUAUUUGAUUAAUUUAAGUGUUGGCUGCAAAAUUUGUAAAACAAAAAGGUUUCAUAAACAUUUAUAUCUUUUUCUCUCUCCUUUUGUGUACACAUUGCCACUACAAUUACAUUUAAAAACCAAACCCACCUUAAUAUCAUAUUUAACAUGGAUCUUUUCAUUUAAAAAAUAAGGAAGUGUAGUUAUGAGAUUAUGACAAUGAACAACCCGUCCACCGGACGGGUAUUAAACUAGUUAAUUAAAGGUUAAUUUCACAAACAUAGAGACAAUGUGGUGCUGAAAAAUCACAGACUCAGAGGUUUUGAACAUCGAACUGGACCAAUUUAUCGAGGUUUGACCAACAUAUUGGUUUCUUCACAUGUUUCUUAUAAAAAAAGGAAUCUUUUUAUAUUUCGUUCAAGUGGUGCAGGCGUGCAAGUUUCUUAAUGAUAAUUCAAAAGAAUCACCAGCCAGGAUUCAUGGUUCCAUUGUUGUGAUGACAUCAGUGUAUGUCUACGUCUGUUUGGAAAAAUCCAAAACAGAGCUCAAUAAAAACAAUUACAAGGAUAGCAAUUGCAAAAGGAGAAGCAAUCCAUAUACAAACCCUCCAAUUGGCAUCACCACCCCAUCCAGCAGGAAGUUAAUUGUCCGAGUCAAUCAGGAAAUUAAAAAGUCAAAUCUCUUGGUCUAACUGAAAGAAAGAAAUAAACAACCAUUUGCAGAUUCAUAAUGCUUGUGCGUAUAUGUGCAGCCCUAUAUGUAUAUACAUGUAGAAAUAGAAACUGGUGUGAUUACACUCAAUUGUUAGGCCGAAAGAAUAUGCAGAAACUGGAAAAAUACGGUGAUUCUGUACAUAUGAGUGCUUGUAUGGCCAUACAUCGAAUCGAUACAAUCCUAAACUAACAGACACAAUGUUUAACUAUUCUGUUCAAUUUUGACUUUUCAUAAACACAGGUUUGACUUUUCUUUUGACUUCUAAUUAAACCAAUUUUCCUCGAUUAUAAUCUUCCAACAAAAUCACACAAUCAUUUUACUAAAGAAAAUCAACAUUCACAUAGGCAUAGGCAUCCAUGUAAGCAACACCUUUUACAAGUGA